GAUACCAGAGUCAAAAGGUUAUGCGUUUCAUGCUUGCAUGAAAAAGCAUGACUUUGGGACCCGUAAAACAUGAGAAAGCAGCCCCAACGGGGCGGAUUUCAAAUGUUUUUAGGAUUGCGGGAGCAUGAAAUGCGGAGCAAUCCGU
rnacentral:sRNA from 1 species